UACACAUGCAAGUCGAACGGCAGCAUGGGCUUCGGCCUGAUGGCGAGUGGCGAACGGGUGAGUAAUGCAUCGGAACGCGUCCUGUAAUGGGGGAUAACCUACCGAAAGGUAGGCUAAUACCGCAUACGUCCUGUGGGAGAAAGCGGGGGAUCGUAAGACCUCGUGUUAUAGGAGCGGCCGAUGUCGGAUUAGCUAGUUGGUGGGGUAAAGGCCUACCAAGGCGACGAUCCGUAGCUGGUCUGAGAGGACGACCAGCCACACUGGGACUGAGACACGGCCCAGACUCCUACGGGAGGCAGCAGUGGGGAAUUUUGGACAAUGGGGGCAACCCUGAUCCAGCCAUGCCGCGUGAGUGAAGAAGGCCUUCGGGUUGUAAAGCUCUUUCGGCCGGGAAGAAAUCGCGCCAGCUAAUAUCUGGUGUGGAUGACGGUACCGGAAGAAGAAGCACCGGCUAACUACGUGCCAGCAGCCGCGGUAAUACGUAGGGUGCGAGCGUUAAUCGGAAUUACUGGGCGUAAAGCGUGCGCAGGCGGUUUUGUAAGACAGGUGUGAAAUCCCCGGGCUUAAUCUGGGAACUGCGCUUGUGACUGCAAGACUUGAGUGCGGCAGAGGGGGGUGGAAU
rnacentral:rRNA from 1 species